GUUGUUCUAGAUUCCCGUCGUAACUUAAAGGGAAACUUUCACAAUGUCCGGAGCCCUUGAUGUCCUGCAAAUGAAGGAGGAGGAUGUCCUUAAGUUCCUUGCAGCAGGAACCCACUUAGGUGGCACCAAUCUUGACUUCCAGAUGGAACAGUACAUCUAUAAAAGGAAAAGUGAUGAGGGCUGUGCUGAAGUUUGCUGCUGCCACUGGAGCCACUCCAAUUGCUGGCCGCUUCACUCCUGGAACCUUCACUAACCAGAUCCAGGCAGCCUUCCGGGAGCCACGGCUUCUUGUGGUUAGUGACCCCAGGGCUGACCACCAGCCUCUCACGGAG
rnacentral:lncRNA from 1 species